AACGAACGCUGGCGGCAGGCUUAACACAUGCAAGUCGAGCGCAUCCUUCGGGGUGAGCGGCGGACGGGUGAGUAACGCGUGGGAACGUGCCCUCUUCUACGGAAUAGCCUCGGGAAACGGAGAGUAAUGCCGUAUACGCCCGCAAGGGGAAAGAUUUAUCGGAGGAGGAUCGGCCCGCGUUGGAUUAGGUAGUUGGUGGGGUAACGGCCUACCAAGCCGACGAUCCAUAGCUGGUUUGAGAGGAUGAUCAGCCACACUGGGACUGAGACACGGCCCAGACUCCUACGGGAGGCAGCAGUGGGGAAUCUUGGACAAUGGGGGCAACCCUGAUCCAGCCAUGCCGCGUGAUCGAUGAAGGCCUUAGGGUUGUAAAGAUCUUUCAGCUGGGAAGAUAAUGACGGUACCAGCAGAAGAAGCCCCGGCUAACUCCGUG
rnacentral:rRNA from 1 species